rnacentral:lncRNA from 1 species
UGCCCUCAUAUAUGCAUCUAUAACAAUAAAUAUUACAAGUUGAUUUUUAGUUAAAUAAGAUAUGAUGGUUGUUAUAAAUGAAGAAAAAUAAAAUAGAACAAUCUCAUGAUUAGUGAAAGAACUUCCAUAAUUCGCUUAAUUUAUUAUUUAAUCAUCGAAUCUAUCUCUUUUUUUAGCAAUAUUUUCAUAGAAAAUAUUGAGAAACAAGCACUAGACAAAUCUAAAUGUUAAAACAAGUUAG